rnacentral:rRNA from 1 species
AUUGAACGCUGGCGGCAUGCCUUACACAUGCAAGUCGAGCGGCAGCGCGGGGGCAACCCUGGCGGCGAGCGGCGAACGGGUGAGUAAUGCAUCGGAACGUGUCCUUUGUGGGGGAUAACCAGUCGAAAGACUGGCUAAUACCGCAUGAGCUCGAGAGAGGAAAGCAGGGGACCGCAAGGCCUUGCGCGAGAGGAGCGGCCGAUGCCCGAUUAGCUAGNGGUGAGGUAACGGCUCACCAAGGCGACGAUCGGUAGCUGGUUUGAGAGAACGACCAGCCACACUGGGACUGAGACACGGCCCAGACUCCUACGGGAGGCAGCAGUGGGG